rnacentral:rRNA from 1 species
CCUACGGGAGGCAGCAGUAAGGAAUCUUCCACAAUGGACGAAAGUCUGAUGGAGCAACGCCGCGUGCAGGAUGAAGGCUUUCGGGUCGUAAACUGCUUUUAUAUGGGAAGAUUAUGACGGUACCAUAUGAAUAAGGACCGGCUAACUACGUGCCAGCAGCCGCGGUAAUACGUAGGGUCCAAGCGAUAUCCGGAAUUACUGGGCGUAAAGCGUGUGUAGGUGGAUUAAUAAGUGUGAUGCGAAAUCCGGCGGCUCAACCGUUUGGACUGUGUCGCAUACUGUUAGUCUAGAGGACGGCAGAGGUAAGUGGAAUUACGGGUGUAGCAGUGAAAUGCGUAGAUAUCCGUAGGAACACCAAUGGCGAAGGCAGCUUACUGGGCCACACCUGACACUGAGACACGAAAGCGUGGGGAGCGAACAGGAUUAGAUACCCUGGUAGUCCACGCCGUAAACGAUGCAUACUAUUAGUAUGGGGUAUCGACCCCCUGUGCUGAGAAGCUAACGCGAUAAGUAUGCCGCCUGGGGAGUACGAGCGCAAGCUUAAAACUUAAGGAAUUGACGGNNGAGACGNGCGAGACGACGACGAGGGAGAG